UACGUAGGGUGCGAGCGUUGUCCGGAAUUAUUGGGCGUAAAGGGCUCGUAGGCGGUCUGUCACGUCGGGAGUGAAAACUCGGGGCUUAACCCCGAGCCUGCUUCCGAUACGGGCAGACUAGAGGUAUGCAGGGGAGAACGGAAUUCCUGGUGUAGCGGUGAAAUGCGCAGAUAUCAGGAGGAACACCGGUGGCGAAGGCGGUUCUCUGGGCAUUACCUGACGCUGAGGAGCGAAAGCAUGGGGAGCAAAAGGG
rnacentral:rRNA from 1 species